GGCUUCGUAGCUCAGCUGGUAAAUCGCUUGCUGCGAAGAGGCGUGGGGCUUCUCUCGCUGGUUCGAAUCCAGCCGAAGCCC